GACGAACGCUGGCGGCGUGCUUAACACAUGCAAGUCGAACGGAAAGGCCCCUUUGGGGGUACUCGAGUGGCGAACGGGUGAGUAACACGUGAGUAACCUGCCCUUGACUUCUGGAUAACUUCAGGAAACUGGGGCUAAUACCGGAUAGGAAUCCUUGCUGCAUGGUGGGGGUUGGAAAGCUUCGGCGGUUUUGGAUGGACUCGCGGCUUAUCAGCUUGUUGGUGGGGUAGUGGCUUACCAAGGCUUUGACGGGUAGCCGGCCUGAGAGGGCGACCGGCCACAUUGGGACUGAGAUACGGCCCAGACUCCUACGGGAGGCAGCAGUGGGGAAUAUUGCACAAUGGGCGGAAGCCUGAUGCAGCAACGCCGCGUGCGGGAUGACGGCCUUCGGGUUGUAAACCGCUUUCAGCAGGGGCGAAGCUUGUGGUGACGGUACCUGCAGAAGAAGCACCGGCUAACUACGUG
rnacentral:rRNA from 1 species